rnacentral:piRNA from 1 species
UCCUGAUAAGCUACUAGGAAGUCAACUU